rnacentral:rRNA from 1 species
AGUGAACGCUGGCGGUAGGCCUAACACAUGCAAGUCGAACGGCAGCACAGUAAGAGCUUGCUCUUACGGGUGGCGAGUGGCGGACGGGUGAGGAAUACAUCGGAAUCUACUUUUUCGUGGGGGAUAACGUAGGGAAACUUACGCUAAUACCGCAUACGACCUACGGGUGAAAGCAGGGGAUCUUCGGACCUUGCGCGAUUGAAUGAGCCGAUGUCGGAUUAGCUAGUUGGCGGGGUAAAGGCCCACCAAGGCGACGAUCCGUAGCUGGUCUGAGAGGAUGAUAGGGCGCACUGGAAAUGAGACACGGCCCAGAGUCCUACUGAAGGCAGCAGUGGGGAAGGGUGGACAAUGGGUGCAAGCAUGAUCCCGCCAUACCGAGUGGGUGAAGAAGGCCUUCGGGUUGUAAAGUCCUUUUGUUGGGAAAGAAAAGCAGCAGGUUAAUACCCCGCUGUUCUGAAGGUACCCAAAGAAUAAGCACCGGCUAACUUCGUG